UACGUAGGGUGCGAGCGUUGUCCGGAAUUAUUGGGCGUAAAGGGCUCGUAGGCGGACUGUUAAGUCAGUGGUGAAAGCUCCAUGCCUAACAUGGAAAUUGCCAUUGAUACUGACGGUCUUGAGUACAUUUGAAGUGGGCGGAAUGUGUCAUGUAGCGGUGAAAUGCUUAGAUAUGACACAGAACACCGAUUGCGUAGGCAGCUCGCUAAACUGUAACUGACGCUGAGGCACGAAAGCGUGGGGAGCAAACAGG
rnacentral:rRNA from 1 species